CCCUAGCCCGGAUAGUAGCGACAUCCUUCUUGUGGCCUCGUCUCGUCCCUAAAGACGAGACGAGGCCACAAGAAGAUAAAGCGAAUAGCCGGAAACAGC
rnacentral:sRNA from 1 species